CCGGCGCCACAGCGGACAGUGCUUGCCACCUCUGUGUCGCAGUGAUGCAUGAGCUCUAUCGUUUCUAUCCUCCGACGCGCGGGCGUGUUUGAGGACACGCCCCUGCUGCUUUUGUGUGCGGCGCGACCCCUGCCACGCUCUCAUCCACAGACGGACGAAUGGCACUGCCCUUGCAGGCAGCUUGCCUCCGCCGCUCCGCCGUGUGACGCGCCCGUGGAGCACAGCACCCUGGAGGGCGUAGCACUUCCACUGGAUGCAGCGAUGCCUGAUUAUGAGCAGGGCGCGACGCGUACACCAGACUCUUUCACUCCUGUGCAGUGCUUGAACACGCUGAGGGCGACCCGUGCGUUUGCUGCCGCGACGCCAUCGCUGAGGUGGGCCGGCGGCGACGUGUGCUCGCGAACCGGCGUGCCGUGUUGGAUAUCUGCUCUGGGGCCUGCCUCGAUCGGCAUUGCUGCUGCUGGCUCGCUGCCUGGGAUGCCGGAUGACGUGGCCUGCUCGAACGCAGUGAUUGCAGCCGGCAGCUCGUGGAGCCCGGGAGCCAUGAGCAGUAGCACACUUCCGUGCCGCUGGUGCUUGCUGCAGUACGUGGCGGUGGUGUACCUGUGUCGCGCGAGGGUGGGUGGGGCGCGGCUUGCCUCGUGGAGCUGGAUGGGCUCCGCGGCAGCAUGGGCCAUGCAGGCCACUGCUGUGAAUCGGACGCUGCCGAAUGUGAGCAUGCUGCAGCUGCCGAGCGGCAAGCUCCACUGCCGUUACCCUGCCUCGUGGCCGCAGGUGCGGCCCGUAGCACCUAUCGCAUCGCGGGGGAGCAGCUUGUGCGGAUGUGCUCCGCAGCCCGGGAUGGACGCACAGACGGUGCACUUUGGCGUGGAUGCGGAGAGCCGGUGCUCGGACUGUGCGACUGCCCACGCGUGCACCGCGACCACCACCCCGACUACUGCGACGACGACGACGACGUCCCCUACGGCAUGUCUGCCGCCGCGCCGCAUGUGCUGCUGCGGGUACGCGCUGACGGCUGGCGGGUGGUGCAUGAGGCAGGGGCGGCGCCGCGAUCUCCGAGUCGGCACGCUGCUGGAAGGAGGAGAGGUCUGCUGCGAUCUUCACCCGUUUUCCGCCCUACUCUCUUUCGGCUGUUUUCUCUCGCGCAGCGGCGGUGAGGCGGCGAGUGUGCUCUGUUUGGCUCCUUUGUUUGCUCUGCUCUGCCUGAGGUGGUCAUGCUAUGCGUCCGCUCUCUGCGCUUGCCACGCUCACAUUGGUGCACGCGCGGGAGGGUCGGGAGCCGUGCAAGCUGCAUCUCCUCAUGAGGGUGACGGCCGGGCGCAACGGCAAGAGCGCAAACACGGUCCGGUAGCGAAGGGCUGCCUAAACGGGAGCUUCGGGAGGGGGGAUACAGCGGACACUUAGAUGUGUGGAGAGCGUCAUGGCGUCACUGCAACGCACCUUGCUUCGAAUGAGCCGCCGCCACUGCGCCUGCGUGCGCGGUGCACGGAGAGGCCGCGCUGGGUGUAAGGGGUGGCUUGCGGUCGCAUUGCCUGUGCCACCGCGACACUCCGUGAGCCGUCUGCUGCCCCGGUGCGCACCACGGCUUUUGUCUUCUCUCGGGCAUCGCUCUUCUCAGGCUGCUGUGCGCAUCGCUGCGCUGCACAGAGCCUUUGCACCCGCUCACAUCAGGUAUGGCUGUGAGGACAACUGCGUGGCAUGCACAGCUUGUGCGCGGCCGCGUGCCGUUGUGCUGCUUGCCUUGCUCCAUUUACUUGGCUCCUUCUCACCGUGCCGGCCUCUGUUUUGACCACCCACUGUGCGUCGCCCGGCGACCCUUUCGCGGUGAUGCCUCAUGGCGGCAGCGCAUCGGCACCACCGUCAGCGCACACAGCGCUGCGUCUCCUUCUUUCACGGCCUGUGGGUGCCUUUG
rnacentral:misc_RNA from 1 species